rnacentral:rRNA from 1 species
CCGGUUGAUCCUGCCAGAGGUUACUGCUAUCGGAGUUCGAUUAAGCCAUGCGAGUCUAAAGGUUUCUUUCGAGAAACCUUGGCGGACUGCUCAGUAACACGUGGAUAACCUACCCUUGGGACUGGAAUAACCCCGGGAAACUGGGGAUAAUACCGGAUAGAUCAGGGAUGCUGGAAUGCACCUUGAUCCAAAGCUCCGGCGCCCAAGGAUGGGUCUGCGGUCUAUCAGGUUGUAGUGGGUGUAACGUACCUACUAGCCGACGACGGGUACGGGUUGUGAGAGCAAGAGCCCGGAGAUGGAUUCUGAGACACGAAUCCAGGCCCUACGGGGUGCAGCAGGCGCGAAAUCUUUACAAUGUGCGAAAGCAUGAUAAGGGAACUCCGAGUGCCAGUAUCUAAUACUGGCUGUCCUUGUGCCUAAAACGCACAAGAUAGCAAGGGCCGGGUAAGACCGGUGCCAGCCGCCGCGGUAACACCGGCGGCCCGAGUGGUAGCCGCUAUUAUUGGGUCUAAAGGGUCCGUAGCCGGUUCGAUAAGUCCUCUGGGAAAUCUGGUUGCUUAACAAUCAGACUGCCAAGGGAUACUGUCGAACUUGAGACCGGGAGAGGUAAGAGGUACUUCAGGGGUAGGAGUGAAAUCUUGUAAUCCCUGGGGGACCAUCUGUGGCGAA